rfam:Candidatus Pelagibacter ubique HTCC1062, complete genome.
GGUUGUAUUUUGAGUCUGUAACUGAAUCAAAGGUGAAUCAAAACGUGAACAUUGAAACUACAUUUUGUGCUCUUGUGGAUAACUUCAACC